rnacentral:rRNA from 1 species
GAGAUCCCUGCCUCUAGUUGCUAUCAUUGCUCUCAGGAGUAAUGGGGCUAAUUAGAGGGACUGCCGUCGCUGAGACGGAGGAAGGAGGGGGCUACGGCAGGUCAGUAUGCCCCGAAACCCUCGGGCCACACGCGGGCUGCAAUGGUAAGGACAAUAAGUUCCUAUUCCGAAAGGAGGAGGUAAUCUCCAAACCUUACCUCAGUUAUGAUUGAGGGCUGAAACUCGCCCUCAUGAAUAUGGAAUCCCUAGUAACCGCGUGUCAUUAUCGCGCGGUGAAUAC